rnacentral:rRNA from 1 species
CCCGCGGAACGCCGAGCCGAGCCCCUCGCGAGGGGCCGGCUCGCCGUUCCAUUUUGCAGGCACGUUUCUGGGUGAAGUUUUCGGAUCGCGUCGACGCCGGCGGUUCGCCGCCGGUGACGUUGUGAGAAGUUCAUUAAACCUUAUCAUUUAGAGGAAGGAGAAGUCGUAACAAGGUUUCCGUAGGUGAACCUGCGGAAGGAUCAUUG